AGUGAACGCUGGCGGUAGGCCUAACACAUGCAAGUCGAACGGCAGCACAGUAAGAGCUUGCUCUUACGGGUGGCGAGUGGCGGACGGGUGAGGAAUACAUCGGAAUCUACUUUUUCGUGGGGGAUAACGUAGGGAAACUUACGCUAAUACCGCAUACGACCUAUGGGUGAAAGCAGGGGAUCUUCGGACCUUGCGCGAUUGAAUGAGCCGAUGUCGGAUUAGCUAGUUGGCGGGGUAAAGGCCCACCAAGGCGACGAUCCGUAGCUGGUCUGAGAGGAUGAUCAGCCACACUGGAACUGAGACACGGUCCAGACUCCUACGGGAGGCAGCAGUGGGGAAUAUUGGACAAUGGGCGUAAGCCUGAUCCAGCCAUACCGCGUGGGUGAAGAAGGCCUUCGGGUUGUAAAGCCCUUUUGUUGGGAAAGAAAAGCAGCAGGUUAAUACCCCGCUGUUCUGACGGUACCCAAAGAAUAAGCACCGGCUAACUUCGUG
rnacentral:rRNA from 1 species